rnacentral:sRNA from 1 species
GGUGAAACAGAGCCGUCGAUUAAAAUUUCAGA